rnacentral:rRNA from 1 species
CCCUUAGAUGUUCUGGGCCGCACACGCGCUACACUGAAGGAGGCAGCGUGUACUCCUGGAUCGAAAGAUUUGGGUAACCCGCGAAUCUCCUUCGUGCUAGGGAUUGAGGUUUGCAAUUAUCCUUCAUGAACGAGGAAUUCCCAGUAAGUGCAAGUCAUAAGCUUGCGCUGACUACGUCCCUGCCCUUUGUACACGCCGCCCGUCGCUACUACCGAUUGAAUGAUUUAGUGAGGACUUCGGACUGGGACCGAUGCGGCUUUCGGGCUGCGUCGGUAUUCUGGAAAGAUGUCCAAACUGUAUCAUUUAGAGGAAGUAAAANUCGUAACA